GGUUGAUCCUGCCAGUUGUCAUAUGCUUGUCUCAAAGAUUAAGCCAUGCAUGUCUAAGUAUGAAUUGUAUUCAAACAAAGGUGAAACUGCGAAAGGCUCAAUAAAUCAGCAAUCGUUUAUUUGAUUGUGCGCUUUGAAUGCCACUCGGAUAACCGUGGUAAUUCCAGAGCUAAUACGUGCCAGAAAAACAAUAUAGUUUUGCAACGACUGGAAAGAAAAGAAAGAGUAAAAUCUUUUUUGAAUUUUGGAAGUUGAGCAUUUAUUAGAUUCAAAAACCCACACACCUAAUUAA
rnacentral:rRNA from 1 species